UAUUAAAAAUAAUUAAAAACAAGAAAUAUUAAGUUGAGGCGGGCCGCGUAGGACCCACCCCAACCUUACGCGGGCGGUAUGAGGGUUGAAACCUGAUCUCAUUGAUUUCUUUAGUUCAGACGGGCCGCUUAAGACCCUUGAUUAGUUUACGCGGGCCGCGUGAGAUCAAAAUAGUGGCGCAGCCUGGUGAUGACACGUGUCAUCACCGUGUCAAGCCUAGUGAUGAUCCGGACGAGCUACGCGUUGACUCAGCUUUGACGCGGGCCGCGUAAGCCCCGCUUAAGUGUUACGCGGGCCGCGUGAGACCCAGAAUUCAGCACUAUAUAAAGGAGCCAUCGGGAUCAACCAGAAAUCGUUCAAAAUUCAUUUCUCAAUCUCAAAUUCUGAAUUAUAGGCUUUAGAAAGCUGGUAUUAUACCCCCUAAUUAGCGAGGUUCUGCUCCGUUGUAAGUAUUAUAACCCCAGUUUUGUAAUAGAUGCGCUGCCCGAUUGAUUCAGGGUUCCGUAACAACUAUCGUGGUUCUGCCCGACGUAGUUGUUGGAAUACCGUCUCGGGGAAGGUAUCAUUAAUUUUUUUCAAAGGGUUAUGAUACUAACCUAUGUACAUUUGUGUAAAUUAUAGAUUAUUCACAGGAAACCCUUACGCGAAGUCUAAGAUAGCAAUGUAACACAAUGUGAAGGCCAAGUAGUAAAAAGCCAGCUCGAGAGCACUGACGGCUUGGAAAACUGUGGCUAUAAAAGUUAUCUAAAAUACGAUGUUUUAAAUUCAAUAAAGUAGGAUUUAUCCCUAUAAACAUGUUGUAAUAAGAAACUUGGGUUUUACCCAUGUGAUUAUAAAAAUAAAAUAUGGUGGUU
rnacentral:lncRNA from 1 species